UACAUGGGGUGCAAACGUUGCUCGGAAUGAUUGGGCGUAAAGCGUCUGUAGGUGGCUUUUCAAGUCCGCCGUCAAAUCCCAGGGCUCAACCCUGGACAGGCGGUGGAAACUGCCAAGCUGGAGUACGGUAGGGGCAGAGGGAAUUUCCGGUGGAGCGGUGAAAUGCGUAGAGAUCGGAAAGAACACCAACGGCGAAAGCACUCUGCUGGGCCGACACUGACACUGAGAGACGAAAGCUAGGGGAGCGAAUGGG
rnacentral:rRNA from 1 species